rnacentral:rRNA from 1 species
CCUACGGGAGGCAGCAGUGGGGGAUAUUGCACAAUGGGGGAAACCCUGAUGCAGCGACGCCGCGUGGGUGAAGAAGCGCCUCGGCGCGUAAAGCCCUGUCAGCAGGGAAGAAAAUGACGGUACCUGAAGAAGAAGCCCCGGCUAACUACGUGCCAGCAGCCGCGGUAAUACGUAGGGGGCAAGCGUUAUCCGGGUUUACUGGGUGUAAAGGGGGCGCAGACGGCGAUGCAAGCCAGGAGUGAAAGCCCGGGGCCCAACCCCGGGACUGCUCUUGGAACUGCGUGGCUAGAGUGCAGGAGGGGCAGGCGGAAUUCCUGGGGUAGCGGUGAAAUGCGUAGAUAUCAGGAGGAACACCGGUGGCGAAGGCGGCCUGCUGGACUGCAACUGACGUUGAGGCCCGAAAGCGUGGGGAGCAAACAGGAUUAGAUACCCCAGUAGUC